GACGAACGCUGGCGGCGUGCUUAACACAUGCAAGUCGAACGAUGAAGAAGAGAAACGCGAACUUCGGUUCAAAUUUCACUUCGGAUUAGUGGCAGACGGGUGAGUAACGCGUGAGCAACCUACCUCUUACAAAGGGAUAGCCUCGGGAAACCGUGAUUAAUACCAUAUGACACAUUCAUAAGGCAUCUUAAGAAUGUUAAAGCUACGGCGGUAAGAGAUGGGCUCGCGUCCCAUUAGCUAGUUGGUGAGGUAACGGCCCACCAAGGGGACGAUGGGUAACCGGCCUGAGAGGGUGAACGGUCACAUUGGAACUGAGACACGGUCCAAACUCCUACGGGAGGCAGCAGUGGGGAAUAUUGCACAAUGGAGGGAACUCUGAUGCAGCGACGCCGCGUGAGCGAUGAAGGAAUUCGUUUCGUAAAGCUCUGUUCUAUGGGAAGAAAAGGACUGUACCAUAGGAGAAAGCCCCGGCUAAAUACGU
rnacentral:rRNA from 1 species